UUAUGUGGGAAUCAAUCAUGGCAACCGCAACAAAAGGGAUGUGCUCAACCAACUCCAUUUUAAAGUAAUGCCCUCACAUUCCCUGAAUCCAGCACAACACCUUUGGAAGUAUGCAAGCCACAUUUUCCUUUAGGACCGCAUCCAGUGACUUCCCGGCAACUGCGGUGUCUAAAAUGACUAGAUCAGCUUUAAGUGUGAAAUCAACAGCUUCUUGACCCUUCGCCGAAAAACCUGAAUGAUGACUAGAAAGAAAACUCCGAUAAAACAGCAUUACCUUUAAUAUUAUGGCAAGCAUCAUCCAAUCAAAAGAAAUUUUCAUGUUUCUAAAAUAAACAAGAUUAUUGUUUUAAGAUGUGGACAGUAUAGAAACUGUCUCCUCUCAGGGGCGACCCAGAAAUUUUUUUUCAGUGCGGGCGAUAUUUUCAGUGCACUUCUCCAAAAAUAUAGUAUUAUGUGCAAAACUAAAACAAACCAUAUCGAGUGUUGGAUACAUGUUAGACAUGAAAAUGCCACCCUAAUGGUAGUGUCUGUGCUUUGUAGGUCACCUCAAUUUCAAAUUAAAAACUUAUAGGGUUCAUCAAAGCAGGACAAGUAUGUGAUGCUGGAAGCUCUGUCUCAUAAUUGCUUGAAUUUCCCUCAUUAUUUAUUUGUCACUCUUCUCCCUCGAAACUCUGUAAAUCAAAAUCCAAUUCAAUAGGCAUCUGGCUGCAUUGGGCCUUCACUGUGUCCGCUCUUGACUCCUAUGUCCUUCAUCUUCUGUUCCAAAUUCUAAAUCACUUCAGCUGGUUCAUUAGGCUUCUAAUUGGUAAUCCAAACAACUUUUGUACCAACUUCUAAAUUGAUAGGUGUAAAUCGUCCUUGAUAUUCAUUCUGCCUUUCAUCUGAUAAUGGUAAUUUUCACAACAAAAGAUCUUGCAAAGCAAUGAUGAGGCUUUUCCUCGUGAUCGCUUCGGUGUAGGAAUCAAUAAGAGAAUAAGAAAAAUCACUGUUUUAAAAAUCAGAUCGGCCUGGCCACUUCAACUUGAAAAAUUGAGUAUCGAGAUCAAAAUCGAUCCAAUUAGACUUAUUAAACUUCUAAUUAAAAACCUAAAUCGAUCGAUUUUUAGAGAACUCAUGACCUGU
rnacentral:lncRNA from 1 species